UUGUAAGUGGAGAAAGGAAGUCAACUAAGAAGUUAUGUAAUAUUAUGUCUUAUUCUAAUGGUUUCUUGCAUCAAAAAAAGGAACUACUCCCACUAACCCAAUCUCUUUGGUUUCAUCUUCUUCAGUAUUUUCUUCCUCGAUGGGAAAAUUAAGGUACAGAAAGUUCAUAUAUUAUAUUCUCAAAUCAAUAAUCCAAUCCCAUCCAUCCGGACUUUAUUCUUGGUAUUCUCUUCUGACUACAGACUGGUGGUGGCUUAAGGAUCCCUUGGAAGAUGAAUUAAAUCUUCUCCUACAAAGGAAUGAGGGGCUGGCAACAUGUGUCUGAAUUUAUACUAUAAGAUGGCAGAUCAUGUUUGUAUGAAGUCAUAACAUGCAGGUAUGGUAUUCGGAUCCAUUGCAAUGACUUACAUAGCUGUAGCCAGUAGUUCGAUUUGACUAUUUGCACACAAAACCAGGAUGUUCUUGAAGAAUUAUCCAGGUUUAGAGAAUAAACAGUGGUCAGAUACUGUAAAAGUUCAUGCAAUACGCUUAUAAAUUGGCUCUCUCAAGAUGUUUAUAAUCAUUAACAAUCUCUUC